GACGAACGCUGGCGGCGUGCCUAACACAUGCAAGUCGAACGAAGUUUUAUGGAAUGCGACUUCGGUCAAAUGAAGUUUAAACUUAGUGGCGAACGGGUGAGUAACGCGUGAGGAACCUGCCUUUCAGUGGGGGACAACAGUUGGAAACGACUGCUAAUACCGCAUAACAUGUACGGAUCGCAUGGUCUGUACAUCAAAGCUUUAUGUGCUGAAAGAUGGCCUCGCGUCUGAUUAGAUAGUUGGUGAGGUAACCGGCUCACCAAGUCGACGAUACAUAGGGGGACUGAGAGGUUAACCCCCCCACAUUGGUACUGAGACACGGACC
rnacentral:rRNA from 1 species